UACGGAGGGGGCUAGCGUUGUUCGGAAUUACUGGGCGUAAAGCGCACGUAGGCGGACUGUUAAGUCAGGGGUGAAAUCCUGGAGCUCAACUCCAGAACUGCCUUUGAUACUGAAGAUCUUGAGUCCGGGAGAGGUGAGUGGAACUGCGAGUGUAGAGGUGAAAUUCGUAGAUAUUCGCAAGAACACCAGUGGCGAAGGCGGCUCACUGGCCCGGUACUGACGCUGAGGCACGAAAGCGUGGGGAGCAAACAGG
rnacentral:rRNA from 1 species